rnacentral:rRNA from 1 species
AGAGUUUGAUCAUGGCUCAGAACGAACGCUGGCGGCAUGCCUAACACAUGCAAGUCGAACGUGAUCCAGGCUUCGGCCUGGUGAAAGUGGCAGACGGGUGAGUAACGCGUGGGAACCUGCCCUGUGGUAGGGAAUAACCGUGGGAAACUGCGGCUAAUACCCUAUGAGUCCUUCGGGAGAAAGAUUUAUCGCCAUAGGAGGGGCCCGCGUCGGAUUAGGUAGUUGGUGGGGUAACGGCCUACCAAGCCUUCGAUCCGUAGCUGGUCUGAGAGGAUGAUCAGCCACACUGGGACUGAGAUACGGCCCAGACUCCUACGGGAGGCAGCAGUGGGGAAUAUUGGACAAUGGGGGCAACCCUGAUCCAGCAAUGCCGCGUGGAUGAUGAAGGCCUUCGGGUUGUAAAGUCCUUUCGGCGGGGAAGAUGAUGACGGUACCCGCAGAAGAAGCCCCGGCUAACUUCGUGCCAGCAGCCGCGGUAAUACGAAGGGGGCUAGCGUUGUUCGGAAUUACUGGGCGUAAAGGGCGCGUAGGCUGUGCUGUAAGUCAGGCGUGAAAGCCCCGGGCUCAACCUGGGAAUUGCGCUUGAUACUGCGGCGCUGGAAGGUGGGAGAGGAUGGCGGAAUUCCCAGUGUAGAGGUGAAAUUCGUAGAUAUUGGGAAGAACACCGGUGGCGAAGGCGGCCAUCUGGCCCACAUUUGACGCUGAGGCGCGAAAGCGUGGGGAGCAAACAGGAUUAGAUACCCUAGUAGUCC